rnacentral:misc_RNA from 1 species
AACGGUCUAUACCUGCGGUACCUGCGGAAGGAUCAUUACAGAGUGUUCUACCCCCUUGUAAAAUGGUGGGUUUAACCUCCCGUCCUUUGCCAGACCCCCCCUUUCGUUGGGGGGCCUUUCAAACCUUUCUGCUUCGGCGGGGUUACCCGUCGGAACACCCUCAAAAAUUCUUGGUCAAAACUGUUCGGUCCGAGAAACUUAUGAAAAUUGAAGCAAAACUUUUAACAACGGAUCUCUAGA